rnacentral:rRNA from 1 species
CUAAGGUCCCAAAGUCAUGGUUAAGUGGGAAACGAUGUGGGAAGGCCCAGACAGCCAGGAUGUUGGCUUAGAAGCAGCCAUCAUUUAAAGAAAGCGUAAUAGCUCACUGGUCGAGUCGGCCUGCGCGGAAGAUGUAACGGGGCUAAACCAUGCACCGAAGCUGCGGCAGCGACACUAUGUGUUGUUGGGUAGGGGAGCGUUCUGUAAGCCUGUGAAGGUGUACUGUGAGGUAUGCUGGAGGUAUCAGAAGUGCGAAUGCUGACAUAAGUAACGAUAAAGCGGGUGAAAAGCCCGCUCGCCGGAAGACCAAGGGUUCCUGUCCAACGUUAAUCGGGGCAGGGUGAGUCGACCCCUAAGGCGAGGCCGAAAGGCGUAGUCGAUGGGAAACAGGUUAAUAUUCCUGUACUUGGUGUUACUGCGAAGGGGGGACGGAGAAGGCUAUGUUGGCCGGGCGACGGUUGUCCCGGUUUAAGCGUGUAGGCUGGUUUUCCAGGCAAAUCCGGAAAAUCAAGGCUGAGGCGUGAUGACGAGGCACUACGGUGCUGAAGCGACAAAUGCCCUGCUUCCAGGAAAAGCCUCUAAGCAUCAGGUAACAUCAAAUCGUACCCCAAACCGACACAGGUGGUCAGGUAGAGAAUACCAAGGCGCUUGAGAGAACUCGGGUGAAGGAACUAGGCAAAAUGGUGCCGUAACUUCGGGAGAAGGCACGCUGAUAUGUAGGUGAAGCGACUUGCUCGUGGAGCUGAAAUCAGUCGAAGAUACCAGCUGGCUGCAACUGUUUAUUAAAAACACAGCACUGUGCAAACACGAAAGUGGACGUAUACGGUGUGACGCCUGCCCGGUGCCGGAAGGUUAAUUGAUGGGGUUAGCGGUAACGCGAAGCUCUUGAUCGAAGCCCCGGUAAACGGCGGCCGUAACUAUAACGGUCCUAAGGUAGCGAAAUUCCUUGUCGGGUAAGUUCCGACCUGCACGAAUGGCGUAAUGAUGGCCAGGCUGUCUCCACCCGAGACUCAGUGAAAUUGAACUCGCUGUGAAGAUGCAGUGUACCCGCGGCAAGACGGAAAGACCCCGUGAACCUUUACUAUAGCUUGACACUGAACAUUGAGCCUUGAUGUGUAGGAUAGGUGGGAGGCUUUGAAGUGUGGACGCCAGUCUGCAUGGAGCCGACCUUGAAAUACCACCCUUUAAUGUUUGAUGUUCUAACGUGGGCCCCUUACCGGGGUUGCGGACAGUGUCUGGUGGGUAGUUUGACUGGGGCGGUCUCCUCCUAAAGAGUAACGGAGGAGCACGAAGGUUGGCUAAUCCUGGUCGGACAUCAGGAGGUUAGUGCAAUGGCAUAAGCCAGCUUGACUGCGAGCGUGACGGCGCGAGCAGGUGCGAAAGCAGGUCAUAGUGAUCCGGUGGUUCUGAAUGGAAGGGCCAUCGCUCAACGGAUAAAAGGUACUCCGGGGAUAACAGGCUGAUACCGCCCAAGAGUUCAUAUCGACGGCGGUGUUUGGCACCUCGAUGUCGGCUCAUCACAUCCUGGGGCUGAAGUAGGUCCCAAGG